GGAGAGGUGCCAGAGCCCGGUUGAUUGGGGCAGUCUCGAAAACUGCUAUACGCUUUGCGUAUCGUAGGUUCAAAUCCUACCCUCUCCG
rnacentral:tRNA from 2 species